AACCGCGGUAAAAAAAACCAUGAUACCACCGAUUCGAGCCAAGACGACCGAACAAAACAGGAAGCGGAAAAGAUAUAAAUUUCAUAGGAGGAAAAGUAAGAUUCUCAACCGCAAGCAACAGCAGCAAUGGCAUCAUUUCAGCUCCCGCUGCUUCCAUCCGGUUCUAUGUGAAAUAACACUGUACCUUCGUUGGCUUCAGUACAGCUCCCACAGGAAAAACCCCUACAACAGCAACAACCGAUGCUUCCAAACCGAGAGGCAGUGGCUGGUGGUGCCAAUCCUGGUUGACCUCCUGCACCCCAAGCACCUCCACAACCUGCAGUACCACCCCUGAUCUGUCAAGCACCCGUCGCACAACAGGCACCAUUUCCCCUAAACCCCAAGGUGCGCUCGUGCCACAACAAGGCACAGAAAUCGCACUGGUGCUCCAACCCGGUUCAACGCUCCCGGCCACAAGCUCAACGUUUCCAACUGGAACAAAGGCAGCAACCUUCAGGUGGGCCAGAAGCCAUUCCACCAGUUUAGCAAUCAUUUCAAAAUCCUAACCAAGGACCCCCGGAUUUGAUUCUCAACCGCAAGCAACAGCAGCACCGCUCGCAGCAGCAAUGGCAUCAUUUCAGCUCCCCCUACUACGAUUCCAUCCAUUUUCCAUUCGUCGCACAACAGGCACCAUUUCACCUUAAUCAAAGUGCGCUCGUGCCACAUCCAGGCCCAAGAAUCGCACUGGUGCUCCAACCCGGUUCGACGCUCCCGGCAACAAACUCAACAUUUCCAACUGGAACAGGGACAAAGGCAGCAACCUCCAGGUGGGCUAGGAGCUCUACCUUCAGAAGCCAGCACCCCAGCAAGCACCUCUACAACCUACAGCACCACCCCCGAUCUUUCAAGCAUCCGUCGCACAACAGGCACCAUUUCCCCCGAACCAAGAUGCGCUCGUGCCACAAUCAGACUCAGGAAUCGCACCGGUGCUCCAACCCGAUGUUUGACGCUCUCCAAAUAUUUACCGUGAUUUGUACUGAUAAUUUUGUUUGUAAAAAUACAUUGAAUUAACCACAUUUCAAGUCCUUAAUUAUUUAUUUCCAUUCAAAAAUCUCAUGAUUUAAUUCCCCGGAAUGAAAUUAACGCACCGGCGAGAAAACAAGGAAAAACU